AUUGAACGCUGGCGGCAUGCCUUACACACGCAAGUCGAACGGCAGCACGGGAGCAAUCCUGGUGGCGAGUGGCGAACGGGUGAGUAAUAUAUCGGAACGUGCCCAGUCGUGGGGGAUAACGUAGCGAAAGCUACGCUAAUACCGCAUACGAUCUAUGGAUGAAAGCGGGGGAUCGCAAGACCUCGCGCGAUUGGAGCGGCCGAUAUCAGAUUAGGUAGUUGGUGGGGUAAAAGCCUACCAAGCCUUCGAUCUGUAGCUGGUCUGAGAGGACGACCAGCCACACUGGAACUGAGACACGGUCCAGACUCCUACGGGAGGCAGCAGUGGGGAAUUUUGGACAAUGGGCGCAAGCCUGAUCCAGCAAUGCCGCGUGCAGGAUGAAGGCCUAGUU
rnacentral:rRNA from 1 species